CAUCCCCCACAGUGAAGGUGCCAAGAUCAGGACUUAGCUAGAAGCUUUAUUGAUGGGGAAAGCAGACUGGCACACAGCUCCCCCUUCUAGCAUUGCAUUGGCUCUGGAGUGGUGACUUGAGUGAAAACCUGUUUUUGCAGUAUUUGGAGCAGUUUUCAUGUUACUCAAAAGGCACAGAGGGAGCAGAUGCGGAUAGUGUGUAGUCAAUUCUCUGAUCACAAAUAUGAAACUUUCGCCAAAGAUGCCGACUUGACUUUGUGAAGGAAGGCAGAACUGACCAGCUGCAACCCUCCUGCUCACCCACCAUUGAACUCAGCUGACAGAUGGCUUGGCAUUUUUUAGCUGAACAAAUCAACACCAGGGUGAGGAUGUGGGAAGAGAAAGGAAAGUGGACAUAGGAGCAGACUAUGCUGCAAAACAUUCACUUUCACCACGGUAGCAGAAGACUCGCAAGCGUCAUAGGAUUGCAUUCGCACUUUUGGUCACAGUGUCCCACUGGAAGCUUACGUUCAGCUGAUUAUCCACUGCGAUCCCCACAUCCUUUUCAGAGUCACGGCUUCCCAGGAUACAUUCCCCCUUCCUAUUGACAUGGAUACAACGCUGCUUAUAACUUCAGUAACUUCUGUUUAACAUCCUCCAGAGAUACUAGUGGAAAGAUUAUCAUCAUCACCAUAUGAUGAGACUAUAUCAUCUGUUUUUCCCCAAAUACAGAAGAGAAAUUUUAUUGAACAUUUCUGCCUUUUCUGCAUUAUUAUCAAUAAUGUUACCUUUUCCAUCUAGUAAGGCACCAAGACCAUUGUCAGGAUACUUUUUGUUCUUAACGUAUUUUAAAAACUCCUUAUUGUCCUUAACUCUGCUGGAAUAGAUGUCUCUCUAUGUCCCUUUGCUUCCCUUAUCAAUUUUAUGCAGUUCCUAGCUCUGAUUUAUAUUCAUUUCUAUCAACUUCCCCUUUCUUCCAUUUGUUUAUAUAUAACAA